rnacentral:rRNA from 1 species
GACGAACGCUGGCGGCGUGCUUAACACAUGCAAGUCGAACGGAAAGGCCCUGCUUUUGUGGGGUGCUCGAGUGGCGAUCGGGUGAGUAACACGUGUGUAUCCUGCCCUUUUCUUUGGUAUAUCUUCAGGAAACUUGGUCUAAUACCCGAUAGGUUCUCCUGCUGCUUGUUUGGUUUUGGUUAUUUUCGGCGGUUGGGGAUGGACUCGCGGCUUAUCAGCUUGUUGGUGGGGUAGUGGCUUACCAAGGCUUUGACGGGUAGCCGGCAUGUGAGGGUGACCGGAAAAAAGGGGACGGAGAUACGGAAAAGAAGGAAACGGGAGGAAGCAGAGGGGAAUAUUGCAAAAUGGGAGGAAGCAAGAUGAAGAAACGAAGGGAGCGGGAUGACGGCCUAGGGGUUGAAAAAAGAUGUAGAAUGAGAAGAAGAGUGAGUGACGGUAAUGGGUAAAGAAGCAACGGCUAACUACGUG